rnacentral:rRNA from 1 species
UAAAAUUGCAGUUGAUACUGUCAGUCUUGAGUACAGUAGAGGUGGGCGGAAUUCGUGGUGUAGCGGUGAAAUGCUUAGAUAUCACGAAGAACUCCGAUUGCGAAGGCAGCUCACUGGACUGCAACUGACACUGAUGCUCGAAAGUGUGGGUAUCAAACAGGAUUAGAUACCCUGGUAGUCCACACAGUAAACGAUGAAUACUCGCUGUUUGCAAGGGCCAAGCGAAAGCAUUAAGUAUUCCACCUGGGGAGUACGCCGGCAACGGUGAAACUCAAAGGAAUUGACGGGGGCCCGCACAAGCGGAGGAACAUGUGGUUUAAUUCGAUGAUACGCGAGGAACCUUACCCGGGCUUAAAUUGAAGGUGCUGCAUGGUUGUCGUCAGCUCGUGCCGUGAGGUGUCGGCUUAAGUGCCAUAACGAGCGCAACCCUUAUCUUCAGUUACGACUCUGGAGAGACUGCCGUCGUAAGAUGGAGGAAGGUGGGGAUGACGUCAAAUCAGCACGGCCCUUACGUCCGGGGCUACACACGUGUUACAAUGGGGGGUACAGAAGGCAGCUAGCGGGUGACCGUAUGCUAAUCCCAAAAUCCUCUCUCAGUUCGGAUCG